CCUACGGGGGACAGCAGUGAGGAAUAUUGGUCAAUGGGCGCGAGCCUGAACCAGCCAAGUAGCGUGAAGGAUGACUGCCCUACGGUUUUUAAACUUCUUUUAUAAAGGACUAAAGUGAGGCACGUGUGCCUUUUUGUAUUUACUUUAUGAAUAAGGAUCGGCUAACUCCGUUCCAGCCGCCGCGGUAAUACGGAGGAUCCGAGCGUUAUACUGAUUUAUUGUGUUUAAAGGGAGCGUAGAUGGGUUGUUAAGUCAGUUGUGAAAGUUUGCGGCUCAACCGUAAAAUUGCAAUUGAUACUGGCAGUCUUGAGUGCAGUUGAGGUAGGCGGAAUUCGUGGUGUAGCGGUGAAAUGCGUAGAUAUCACGAAGAACUCCGAUUGCGAAGGCAGCUUACUAAACUGCCACUGACAUUGAUGCUCGAAAGUGUGGGGAUCAAACAGGAUUAGAUACCCGGGUAGUC
rnacentral:rRNA from 1 species